rnacentral:rRNA from 1 species
UACGUAGGGUGCGAGCGUUGUCCGGAAUCAUUGGGCGUAAAGAGCUCGUAGGCGGUGUGUCACGUCGGCCGUGAAAACCUGCAGCUUAACUGUGGGCGUGCGGUCGAUACGGGCAUCACUGGAGUUCGGCAGGGGAGACUGGAAUUCCUGGUGUAGCGGUGAAAUGCGCAGAUAUCAGGAGGAACACCGGUGGCGAAGGCGGGUCUCUGGGCCGUUACUGACGCUGAGGAGCGAAAGCGUGGGGAGCGAACAGG